AGAGAUGUCUGAUAUUGGACGGUAGGCCCGUCGUGAGGCUCGUUUGGAUAAAAAGCGAGAAGCAGAGCGAAAGCUAGCAGAAGUUGCGAUGGGUGAGCAGGAAAAGAAAAAAGAAAAGACGAAGAAGAUGUCCGCCUCAAAGGAAGCAGAGGAUGAAAGAGGAGAUAGAGAGGAGAGUGAAAAAACAAAGAUCCUAGGAAAAAGAGAUGAGGGAGAAAAAGGAAAAGAAAAGGAAGGGCAACAAAGAGAAAAAGAUGGUAGAGAAGCGGAAAUAAGUAUGGUUCCUCCUACAGAUCCUUCAGCCG
rnacentral:lncRNA from 1 species